GCAACAAAACUUCAACCCUCCUUUGCUGGCUUUCACCCCCUCAGGCUCCCUUCUCACAGUCCAGCAGCUUGGCUGAGACAGAGAAUGCCCAAAGAGCCUGGUACAUGACUGGAGAUGAAACUUAGGCUGCCCCACAGGGAGGCAGGGUCUUGGCAUUAGUGGGGCCCCAAGCCCUAGGUUCAGAGUCACUGCUCACCAAAGCCCCAACUUCUUCAUCCUAGGAAACAUCUCUGGAUUCAGAAUCAGAGGCAGCACUUCAAGUCUCGGUUCUACCACCUUCUGGCCACAGGAUCUGAGAACGGACGGUGAUUUUUAAAAAUGAUGAUCCAGAGCUUGAAGUCAUAGAACAGAUCCAACACUAUUGGCCUGAGCAGCCUUCUUACAUUAGGGGCGAGCAUGACCCACCCAGAAGGGCCAGAUCCAGAAGGCACAUUUCUGAGGCAACUCAGUGGGCUGGGAGAGGCGCCCUGCUGCCCCCCAAGGGGUGCUGAGGCUGUCGCUUGCCUGUAGUCUCUUUGAUGGCUUU
rnacentral:lncRNA from 12 species